CCUCACACACCUUCCUUCCUCCCCACUUAAAAGCUGAAGUCCUUCUCGUCUCUCCGUCUUUGCCGGAGCAGGUUAAAUAGCAGAUUUGGUGUGUCGGGAGUGAAAGGCGGUGGGAGGAAGGACAGCAGUGGAGUCCGACCGCCUUCCUUUGGCUUCAUUGAGCACCUGCGCUCACGCUCCGCUGAGGAGCGAGGAGGCCUCACUCGCUGUCCCGGUGUUUUCUGCUCGAGAAAUUUCCUGGUCAGCUCUGGCAGACCACCAUAAGGCGAACCGGAGAGAGAGGUGGAGUCUAAAGAAGUAGCGUUCCAUCACUUUCAACUUGGUGACUGAAGUUCUUUAGGAGAGAAGAGAGUUGUCCCUGGAAAGCGGUGUAAGGAUGAGUGGCCGCUGGGAAUCUCCCCCUUUUCCCGGUGCGAUCCGUUUUGUUGCUGAGUGCCCUCUGGAGGUUUUGGACCCGCAGCGACCCGGGCUAUCGAGGCUGUGUCUGAGCUUUUCAGGACUCCUUGCUUCAAAGGUUCUCCCUCUCUUUUU